GGGAUGCGGGGGGAGGGGGGACUCGGGCAUGGCGGGCUUCAGGUUCCGAGCCCUAUCCCUGCGGGGAGGCGGCUGAGGCCCAGCGAGAAUUCGAGCGCGGUGCGGGCGGGCCGGCAGUGCUGGGGGGACCCGGCGCACCCUCUGCAGCUGCUGGCCCGGGUGCUAAGCCCCUCACUGCCAGGAGCCUGCGGCGCCUGCUGGCUGCUUUGAGUGCGGGGCCCGCUGAGUCCGCGCACACCCGGAACUCGCGCUGGCCCGCGAGCGCCGCUCGCAGCACCGGCUCCCGCCCGCGCCUCUCGCUCCACACCUCCCCGCAAGCAGAGGGAGCCGGCUUCCGCCUCGGCCAGCCCAGAGAGGGGCCCGCCACAGCGCAGUGGUGGGCUGAAGGGCUCUUAGAGCAUGGCCAGAGUGGACGCCAAGGCCGAGGAGGCGCCCAGAGUGAGCGAGGGCUGCUAGCACUUUGUCACCUCUCAAUUUGACGUUGGUCUUGAUCUGUCACCCAGCCUGGAGUGCAGUGGCACAAUCAUAGCUGCCUACAGCCUUGAAGUCCUGGGCUCAAGCAAUUCUUCCUCGUCAGCCUCCUGAAUAGCAGUGAUUAGAGGCGCCCACACUAAGCAUGGCUCGAUAUGGUGGUUUUUCAAGCGCUUUGAAAUGCAAUCUCAUUUGAUUCUCUCCAGCAUAUUAUUAUGAAAGGAGAAUAGUUAGCCUGGAAUAACAACCUUUCCCUGAUCAUGAAUGUGGAUGAACUGGUGAACAUUAAGUAAGUUUUACGGGUAACAGGGUAUCUCUUUUUCCACGUGAGGAAACGAAUCCUUCUGCCUUUUUAAAGAGCACAACUAACAUGUGGCAGGGCUGGGGUUGAAGAUUGAUGCUGUCCCCAAAGCCCUUGAGCCUUUCAUGUGAUAGACAGUUCCUCCCCACUGCCAUGCAGUGGCCAUGGCCCAUAAAACCCAGACAUAAAGCAAAUAUCUUCACCAGCGUGGGGUGAAGACCACAGGUGAGCGAGUACCUGCUUAGCUUUAGCAAGGCAAUAUCUGCUUGUGUGGGCUCCAAGAACAGCCUAGACACUUCUAUUUCCUGAACAUGAGAUUCGAGGUUCACUUCUUGGUGUGCACCCAGGAUGACCUUGUAGGAUGAAGGCCUUGAGGACCUAGAAAAGAUGAGGAUGUCAAGAGAAAAAUAUGGUCCAGCCCCUUCAGGUAUCCUCUGUGCCAUGAACUUGGCGCUGUCCCUCUGACACCCUCGGCCACCCAGAAUCAGUGACUUAUGAGUGGCAAGAAACAAAAUUCACAAUUUGCUGGAAACUGACAGUUAAGGUCUGUUCUCAAUCUGUUUCAUCAGAGACUGUGAUAUAGUUUGUAUAUUUGUCCCCACCUAAAUCUCGUGUUCAACUGUAGUCCCCAGUGAUGGAGCUAUGGCCUGUGAAAGGGGUUUGGAUCAUAGAGGUGCAUCCCUCUUGAAUGGCUUGGGCCACAUCUUCAUGGUGAUCAGUGAGCUCUCACUCUUAGUUCUUGCAAAGUCUGGUCAUUUGGUAUUGUGCAGCACCCCCACCCCAUCUCUCUCUGUCUCUUGCUCCUGCUCUGGCCAUGUGACAUGCCUGCUCCCACUUUGCCCUCCACCAUGAUUGUAAUCUUCCUUAGGCCCACACAGAAGCAGAGGAGAUGACAGCAUCCUGCUUCCUGUAAAGCCUGCAGAAACAUGUGCCAAUUAAACUCUUUUCUUUAUAAAUUA